ACACCCACAUGCCUAAUUGAGUUAUCAGACAGUUGGCGAACAGGUGACAUGAGAAAAUAAUUUGUUUUAAAUUUCACAAAGACUGACUGAAUGUUUACAGCAGCAGAAACGAAGCCAGAUUCUGCAGCAGCACCAGAGGAGACAGUUGGCACCGAGGUGAGCGCGAAAGGAGGAAAAUAACCCGAGUUUAGAGAUGACUAUAACUGGUGCCAGGAAAGCUAACGUUAGCACCCCGGCGGCUAGCAUCGGCCAGGUGCAGCCAGUCAGCCACCCUCCUGCCUCUGCUACUCCGCUAGGAUCGCUGCCACCACAAACUCUGGGUGAUUUUUGGAUUGAUAAACUAUACCUGCAGUGAUACUCAGUCCGUUUUGUUGUUGUUGUUUUAACAAAUAAAAGGCGCUCAUUUGUGAGUAGAGAGUGGUUGGAAUGAAGUCAGAUGCUGGAUGUUAUUUUAAUGGGUUUCCCGAUUGAAAAACAUUUUCACUGAACUUUAAAGAACCAUGCUUCACACACUGAAGGCCCAGUUAGCCCAGAGACUUUACCUGCCAGUGCACAAAUAACUGGAACCACACUCCACACCUGCAGCUGUUUUAAUGGACGGACGUGACUACCGAUCCAAAGUUGACCGAGCAUGAAUUCAGCAGGCGAUCGCCCCAAGUGGUUGUGCCGAACAGAGGCGGACAUUUUCGAAAGAUGGAACAAUCCACAUAUAAUCGAAGGCUACUGUGUUUCAUUGUCAGAACAGUGCCUGCAGUGCUGCUCUGUUCUCUGGGGACUUCUUAUAAAGGCAUGCCAGUGGGCAGAUUAAUGAUGGUGAACUAGACAGUGAUGUCUGCAGAGUGAUGUAAAGUAAAGAAACAACAUAAAAUGAGAGACAGGUCACCGCGCCUCGCUAAGUGAGUUGUGUUUCUUCACAUUCGCUGAGCCCUGAGUUGUUGAGGACUAAUUAAUUCAAGAACAAAUGUCCCCAAAGGCUGCAAUUAAUGAUAAACUUAUUAGACGUGAUGGUGCCCAUGAGGUCUGGAUCUCAUCGUGGUGUCCACGCUCCUGGUGGUGUUACUUACCCAGCUGUCACUUCAAAUAAAUUAAGAAAGGGAACAAAGUGUGUGUGUGUGCAUGUAACCAUGUAUAAGUCCAUUUUCCAAGACACAGUCAAUCUUCAAAUAGCCCUUCAGUCUAUUUCUAUCACUUGACAUUUGACACAACUCUGUUAAGUUCUUAUUGACACCAUGGCCAGAACUGAGGUGAGGGGAUAUAAAUGUAACCUAUAGACAAGUGGUGUGUGUGCUUUCUAAUGGGUCUGUCGAAACUGAGGUCUCAGGAGAAUGCACAUCUUCCAUACUGCCUUACAGAGACUGUCAAUUCUGAAG